rnacentral:rRNA from 1 species
UUGACCUCAAAUCAGGUAGGACUACCCGCUGAACUUAAGCAUAUCAAUAAGCGGAGGAAAAGAAACUAACAAGGGAUUCCCCUAGUAACUGCGAGUGAAGCGGGAAAAGCUCAAAUUUAAAAUCUGGCGGUCUUGCGGCCGUCCGAGUUGUAAUCUGGAGAAGCGUCUAUCCGCGUCGGACCGUGUACAAGUCUUCUGGAAGGGAGCGUCAUAGAGGGUGAGAAUCCCGUCUUUGACACGGACUACCGAUGCUUUUGUGAU